ACAAUUUUCUCUUAGUUUAAUAUACGUCAUUUGAAGGGAAUAAGCUUUUGAAUUUUACAUUAUUCCUUUAAAUAAAAAUCACGUUGAAUUUGUUUACCGAUGUCGUUCUAAACAUAUGUGCAAGGACCAGUUGUAUUUAAAACUUGCUAAUGGCGCUUCUGGAGGCUAAGAAGGUUGCAUCCCAGGAUCAAAAGGAAGCAGAGAAGUGCAGUUCAGGGAUGGAAACAUGUGAAGAAGCAAGGGUGAAAGCUGAAGCAACAUUAGAGGCACAGCGGAAACAGACUGCACGUGCUGCCUCUUCCGUUCUGAUUUGAAGAAGAUUUCUCAAGCGGCUAUAAUUUCAUGGCAGUUCCCACUCAGAAGUCUGUACUGCCUCAUCAUUAGAACUGUUUCCAUCUGCUCUUCUUCUCGAAACAAGGUCGCAGAUCCACAGGCCAUAAAGAUAAUUUGGUUCAUGCUAAAGUUAUUGAACGUACGAUGGAACCAGUGAUCUUUCAAAAAGGUUGGUUCUUCUAUAUUUUUAUCCUUUUGGUCGCUUUGAAUGGACUUCCUGUAUUCUAACUGAAGCUAAAUUGAAUAGCUGUUUUUGUAUACUGUAUUUGCUUUGUUAAAUUAGUUCUUUUUUGUUGAAAAAUGUUAUUUGGUCUUGCAGGUCAAAGUUUUUCAGCAAGAAAAUUAUCUGUCAAAAUUAAAUUUAGAUAUGAAUACUUACAUUUAUUUAGCAUUUUCAAUUUGUUUUUAGUUUUUGUAUUGUGGUUGUAAAUUUCAUUUAGUGCAUUGUGGUCUUAAUUUAAUUGCGUGGUUAGUUUUAGGAUUUCUUGAGUCGAAUAACAACCUGGGUGAUCAAAAGGAAAAGAACCAUUUAGUCUCUGCUUGCAAGAUGAUUUCUUUUCAUGCCUGUCCUCCCUCUACUUGAAAUGUUUGUUUCAAAUAGGGUUUGGUUUCAGGAGACGGUGGUUUUUCGGAUUUUGAGUCUUUUUGUUUCCAGGCUGCGAAGCCCUGUGUGCUCAAGGUGAGCAAUUUCAAUUUCUAGGGUUAUUGAAUUAAGAGUUUUGUUUAGUUUUUCAUUAUUUUGGACUUGAGUUUGGU